GCCGCCUCAUCUGGGAAGAGGAGCUCCAUCUACAGGGGGGUCACAAGGUGGACAUGCAGAUUUGAGGCAUACCUCUGGGACAAGAAGAAAGGGAGGCAAGUCUAUCUGGGGGCUUAUGAGAAAGAGGAGGCAGCUACUCGUGCGUAUGACCUUGCAGCUCUCAAAUAUUGGGGGCCUGAAACCACACUGAAUUUUCUCUUGGAAACAGAAAAAAAGAAAGAAAUCAUCGUUGAUACGAAUGUGUACAUGUACAUCCAAGUUGCUGCAUCAGUUCCUGUUUGGUACAAACAGGAGCCGGGGUGUGUCUUGGCAAGCACCACCAUUGUCCAUUGACUCGAGAGUUGUGGAGGUGACAGCAGAGCAAAAGUGAUGAGUCACUGAGUAGUAGUAACGCCUUGACAGUCCAUGUCGUGCUUGCGUUUUAGUGUACAACUUAGAUGAGCAAAGCACAUAAAAAUACAGACUCUAAUGUGCUGGUUGUGUAACAACUGUUUGUUCCUGCAAAAAUAACGUUCCUCAUGCAUUCGUUCAUGAACCCACGUGGAUGAGUACGCCAAGGAGAGGUCGGAGAUGGAUUCGGUGUCGCGGGAGGAGUACCUCGCCACGCUCCGCCGCUGGAGCAGCGGCUUCUCCAGGGGGGGUCUCCAAGUACAGGGGCGUCGCCAGGUUGCCGAUGCCGGUGUGCGAGGUCGACCAACCGUGCGACGGGCGGAGUGCCCAGUCCGUAGGCUCAUCCCCUUCUCUGUCCUCUCCGGAGGCGGCCAUUGUUGUAUGGUGCACUCGUUGCCAGGAACUGCACUCACCAAUGGACUAGCUAGAAGUAUUCGAGGUAACUGGCGAUUCACCGCCGCCGGUGUCACCUGCAUCUACUGUGGGGCUGCGCUCGCCCUUGUCCUCGUCAGCAUUGUGGCUAGAGGCCACAUAUACCCAUCCAGAGCACCGGGUCCUUCCUGUUCCUAUACCGUUUCGUAGCCGAGGAGAUCCAACUGGUGUAACCACGCCUCAAUUCUUCUUGUCGUGCCUCAAGGAACUAGCCAGCAUCGGUAUCAGUUACUAUUGGUGCCUAUGAUUUGUUGAGGUGAUGAGGCAACCGCCAACUUAGGCCUGCUGAAGAACGACGCCAUUGCGGGAGGGGGAAGGAGUCGCGGAAGCUCCUGUGCCGGCGGGAGCGACGGUUCCACAACGAGUUGGUCAUUCGUCGCCUUUGAGUUGGAGGAUGUCCAAGGCCGGGAUUGUUCAUCACCACUGAGUUACAGUGCAGUCUCACACAAAGGAAGAGAGAAGAUAACUUGAUGUCAACGAAUUCUGAAUGGUUGAGAUAAUAUUGAUGCUCAAUCCAAAUCUGGAUGUCUCAUCUAUGAACAUUUAAAAUGCUGAGUAGUCCAUGGAAGCUUGCCUAGCCGCUUUCGCGCAACAUUAUAUCUUUGGAUGUUUGCACUUUUCUGGCUCUAGACGUGAGAUUCCUUAUAUGGUUCGACAAAUGCAUGAGGUUUGUAGAGGAAACAAACAUGAACCACCAGAACUGAAGGUCUCAAAAUCGAAGAUUCUUCUUCCCAUGUAUGAAAGUAUUAAGCAACCCAAAUUUUGAGUAUAUAAUUUGUUGGAACGGGACAUGUCAAGAGAAAACAGAGGAGUGAUAUGGCCAUUGGGAGCGAGGGUGUGUGCCUGGGCGACAUGGACGUUGUGCCCUCCCGACCGUUGUCUAGCCGACGUAUCCUCCUCCGGAAGGGAGUUCUCCGGGACUAGGGAGGCGCAACCUUCGCUGUCGGGGUCCGGGGCCGGCACGGGGUGAUGCAUCGGGGACGGUUUUGGGUGCUAGGGGAGGAUCUUGAGGAGGAUAAAGGGAACUGCAACGUGGAAAGGUUGGGCAAAUCCUUCGAGCCCAAGGCGGUGUGGUAGUCUGUAGCUUGGCGUUUUCUUGGCAUCUGUCUAUGCUAUUUUACUGGUCUUAUCAGAAGAAAUUAAUGAUUUUGCCAUGUGGGAGAUCAUGCUUACGUGUCAAUUAACACUGGCGAAACAUAUGACCAAGAGUUCGCAGGACCUAGAUCAUCGACUCUGCCCAGUCCUUUCCAUAGAUGAUGAUGAUGCAACAGAGGACACAGUUGCUAUUGAAGCUAAAGGUGCUUGGAAAACGCAACCAACAGAGAUCAGACUACAAUGAAAAUCACAUGAAGCGCCUCCAGAACCUGAAUGAGCAGCUCAUUCACCUGCUGAACAUAGUUUAUGUGAGCAAAGGAAAGCUUGCUAGGGGUUGACUCCUUGCAAUGAGGCGGCAGUGAGGCUGACUAUGGUUGUAUAUAUGCAGUGCAUUUACAAGAUCAGGUGUUUCGAUGUAGAAAUAUAGUUAUUUUCAGCUGAUUCAUGGCCCCACCCGGUGUGUGUGAUGCCGGUGACUAGAGCGGCAUGUUGCCUGAGACUCUGAAUUGCAGUGCUGCUCUGUGUUGUCUGAUACUGAAUUCUGAUGCAUGUUCAGGCUGACUUGUGGCGCUUGUUUGUGUUGCCUGAAACUGAAUUGUGCCACCUGAAGUUGUAUAGAGAACAUCUAAAAUAAGUGGAAUCAAAGGUGAUUUGAUCA